CUGGGAGCAUAUUGAAUGGUAGGAAGGAACAACUUCAGGCUGAGGAAAGUGAUAAGGAAAAAUGGGAUUUCCUGCAGUUUGCUGAAGCAUGGACUCCAAAUGACAGUUCUGAAGAGCUCAAGAAACAAGUUUUGUUCACUCAUGAGACUCACAGCACAAAGUCUUAAGAGCCCAAACAGCGCCACCUAGGUUUGGUGUUUUGGACACUUUUGGAAGAUUCCAACAAGAAAUCAUACGGUGUUCCAGGCACUGAGAUGGAGCCUCAGGACCAAAGACGCCCUGAGCCACCCCCUCAUCCCUGUG